GGUUCGAUCAUGGCUCAGAUUGAACGCUGCGGAUGUUUUACACAUGCAAGUCGAACGGCAGCACGGACUUCGGUCUGGUGGCGAGUGGGCGAACGGGUGAGUAAUGUAUCGGAACGUGCCUAGUAGCGUGGGAUAACUACGCGAAAGCGUGGAAGACACUGCACACACAGCUUCGGGGGAAAGCGGGGACCUCGGGCCUCGCACUAUUAGAGCGGCCGAUAUCGGAUUAGCUAGUUGCGUAACGGCUCACCAAGGCGACGAUCCGUAGCUGGUUUGAGAGACGACCAGCCACACGACUGAGACGGCCCAGACUCCUACGGGAGGCAGCAGUGGGGUCUUUAGACAAUGGGGGAAACCCUGAUCCAGCCAUCCCGCGUGUGCGAUGAAGGCCUUCGCUUAAAGAAUUUUGGCAGGAAAGAAACGGCACGGGAUAAUACCCGUGCAACUGACGGUACCUGCAGAAUAAGCACCGCUAACUACGUGCCAGCAGCCGCGGUAAUACGUAGGGUGCAAGCGUGUUAAUCGGAAUUACUGGGCGUAAAGCGUGCGCAGGCGGUUCGGAAAGAAAGAUGUGAAAUCCAGAGCUUAAUCCUUGAACUGCAUUUUUUAACUACCGAGCGAGUGGUUUAGAGGGAGGUGAAUCGCGUGUAGCAGUGAAAUGCGUAGAUAUGCGGAGGAACAACGAUGGCGAAGGCAGCCUCCUGGAUAACACUGACGCUCAUGCACGAAAGCGUGGGAGCAACAGGAUUAGAUACCCUGGUAGUCCACGCCCUAAAACGAUGUCAAAUCAGCUGUUGGGGCCUUCGGGCCUUGGUAGCGCAGCUAACGCGUGAAGUUGACCGCCUGGGGAGUACGGUCGCAAGAUUAAAACUCAAAGGAAUUACGGGGACUCCAACAAGCGGUGAGAUGAUGGUGAUUAACGAUGCAAUCAUGAAAACCUUUAACACCCUGACAUGUCUGGAAUCCCGAAGAGAUUUGGGAGUGCUCGCAAGAGAACCGGAACACAGGUGCUGCAAGGGCCAAUGUCAGCUCGUGUCGUGAGAUGUUGGGUUAAGUCCGGAGAACGAGCGCAACCCCUGUCAUUAGUUGCUACGAAAGGCACUCUAAUGAGACUGCCGGUGACAAAACCGGAGGAAGGCUGUGGUGGGGAUGACGUCAAGUCCUCAUGGCCCUUGCGUGGUAGGUCAUAUCAACAAGGUCAAAUUGUCGGGACAGAGGGUCGCCAACCUGCGAGGGGAGCCAAUCCCAGAAACCCGAUCGUAGUCCGAUCGCAGUCUGCAACCUGACUGCGUGAAGUCGGAAUCGCUAGUGUAAUCGCGGACUCAGCAUGUCGCGGUGAAUACGUUCCCGGGUUCACACACCGCCCGUCACACCAUGGUGGUUUUACCAGAAGUGAAGUAGCCUUCCAACCGUAUAAGGGCGACGUUACCACUGGCAGGAUUCAUGACUAGGUGAAGUCGUAACAAGGUAG
rnacentral:rRNA from 1 species